rnacentral:rRNA from 1 species
UACGAAGGGGGCUAGCGUUGUUCGGAAUUACUGGGCGUAAAGCGCACGUAGGCGGACAUUUAAGUCAGGGGUGAAAUCCCAGAGCUCAACUCUGGAACUGCCUUUGAUACUGGGUGUCUUGAGUAUGGAAGGGGUGAGUGGAAUUCCGAGUGUAGAGGUGAAAUUCGUAGAUAUUCGGAGGAACACCAGUGGCGAAGGCGGCUCACUGGGACGGUACUGACGCUAAGGCGCGAAAGCGUGGGGAGUGAACAGGA